rnacentral:rRNA from 1 species
UACGUAGGGGGCGAGCGUUAUCCGGAUUUAUUGGGCGUAAAGCGUGUGUAGGUGGCUUGUUAAGUUUAAGAUAAAAGCCCGAGGCUCAACUUCGGUUCGUCUUAAAAACUGGCAGGCUUGAGUGUGGUAGAGGUAAACGGAAUUUCUAGUGUAGCGGUGAAAUGCGUAGAUAUUAGAAGGAACACCAGUGGCGAAGGCGGUUUACUGGGCCAUAACUGACGCUGAGGCACGAAAGCGUGGGUAGCAAAUAGG